UAGAAAGAAGAGAAAGCAAGAUGCCUGCGGACCAUGAAAGGCUGGAGGACGCAAUAGAGCUGUAGACGCGAGGGCGCAUCGUAACUAGCUCGCAUCGUGGGGCGUGAUGGAGUGUUUCCUUCCGAGUCCAAAUUCGAAUGAUCAUCUGAGUGAACAGUGCGUGUUUGCACGUACUAUUGGUUUGAGGCAAUGUGGAAACAGGAGGCGGAAGAAGUUUCGCCGCGUGGCUCCACAAAGCUUCUUCGCCAUGUCAAGGCAGCCAACCCCGUAGCCAGGACGGGUUAUUCAAGAACCGUGCUCGAGGGCACCACGGAGACGUCAGGAUUGAGGACAAUGGCACUGGGACUACCCGCUGUUCUUCAGCUCUGCAAAGUAGCUGAGAAACCUCGCUUCCUUCUUGCCCCUGACUGAGCGGCUGAAGGCAGCGGAAGCCUCGAAGCGACGGGACCACCUGAUCCACUUCAGCCGCCACGCCCAGAAAUCAAGUUGCACUCCCCGGUGUCGCUUAGUUCUGCUUCACAGGAGCCCACAGGACUGUAUCUGACUCAAAUCAAGAGCGGGCAAAAUAGCCUCUUAUCCCGAUGGCUGUUUCGUAUUUUGCCUUCAUAAGCAAUGUUUA